rnacentral:lncRNA from 1 species
ACCUCAGUUUUGGGGGGUGAGAUGCUGAUGCUGACCUUAAGUUUCUGAAGACAGGUGUGGGAGUUUCCCGUUUGUGGCCAUGCUCCAGCAGUAAUUUGGACAAUUCUUGCUCCCUGUCUUCUUGCCUCCUGUGCUCUCCAUCAUGUUCAUGAUACCACUCAUGUCACAGCCAUGAGGUCUUGGGAAUAAAGUAAACCUGCCUUCUCUCUAGAGCAGAACAAGAGAGGCUUUCUGAGGGAGAAGAAGGAACCGUCUUGUAAAUGCUGCAUGCUGCAGAGUGGUACUACAACAAGCAAGAAAGCAAGGUGAAACAAACCCAGCUACAUCCUUCUGCAUGAUUUCUGUUCCUCUUGCAAGUGGUCUCCUGAGGAACAUGACAGCAAACAGCUCUUGAAAGCGCAGUGCGUGUGCUUUUCUGGCUUGCAGCUAGAGUUGGUCUACAGUAGUGCAGUAAAGAUCGCUGGGCAGCAGCAGCACAGGCAACACACCCUCUGUAUGCCCUCCAUACUGUACCAGGGUGUCCGUUUACUUUCCUUUCAUUGCUCUGUGGGGAUUGUCACCUUGACAGAUUCAUUUGCGCUGAGACUUGCCCUUGUUCACAGACCAGGCAGCUCUGCUGCACUAGAAGGGCUUUAACUCAGUAUGAGCACUGUCACUUUUUACAGUGUGUAACUUUGUAAGGUUCGUACUAUAAAUGUCCUUUUAUUUCUAAGGUAUAAGAAUUUCCCUGGGACUAACUGCUUUAAAGUGUCAAAUGCUUUUGUCCUUUUAUACAAGAGAAGUGUUCAGUCCUGUCCCUGCCAUGUCUUUGCUGUAGGUUGUUCACAGAACUGUGUGGACACAGGUUCCAGCACUUAGAUUCAGAGGUCCCUAUCCUGUAAUCUGAUUUUUCCAAUGCAAGCUGGGGCAGAGCAGUGGAUUUCAAUGGUGUUUGUAUGAGUCCUGUUGAUUUCAGCACCCUAACAGUUGAAGUUGGUGAUGUGUUGCAGGGAUCGGGCCAGAUAAGUCAGCAGGUAGCACAAAAGAUGGCUGUCCUGCUUGCUUUAUUUACGCUGGUUUGCAGACAAUGAAAUCAAAACAAGCACAGGAGAGCUAGUUUCUGAAGGAGAAAACCAUUCCUGAAUAAGGGCUAAUUUUUCAUUAGAUUUUAAAUACCCAGCUCUGUAUUUUUUAGCUUUAGAAUUCCUUAAAGCCACUUUUUAAUAAUAAAGCUGGCCUACAGGCUGUUUCCAUGGAAGAAUUUCAUACAGCCUUAAUUACAUUAGCACAAUUCUGAACCAACAGCAUCAUUCUUCAAUGGUCAAAAUAAUGCGUGAAUGUCUUCUGGUUUUUAACAAUGAGCUAACCUUGAAUACUGCAAAUAGGAGGAAAAAGAAAACAGGUUCUAUGAAUUCAUCCAAUAUCUAACCAUAGACGAACAUCCAGUGCAGGAAAAUAAGAUCAUGCCCUUCUUUUCUGUAUCUAUACUAUCUUAAAUGUCUGAUAAUUUUUAUUCUUAACCUACAGCUGCUAUUCCAGUAACUUGGUUUAUGUUGCCCCAAGCUGUGUAGUUUGCAGCUUUCUGAUGCAUUUGCAGUUACGUCCCCUCUAGUCCUUACCAGAGCAAAAUCUUUAAAUGUUGGUUUUCCCAUACAAGCCACUUCCCCAUUCCACAUUUCCAUUGUCACUGUAGUGAUGUGCUCUUUCUGUUUUCAUACAAUGACCAGGGCUGGAUGAAUGCUUUCCACAUGUGGUUUUACCUGAGCCAUUAAGCGAGCAGUUAUAUUCUCUUUUUGGUACUGAUACCUCUGUGGAUGCAGCUUUUAAAGGUAUUGAUUGGCCUUUUUUGUAGCUUUAUUUGUUGACAUGCUGCUCAGUUCUUGUCCUUCACUCCUAAAUUCCUGUCAAUCAUUUCUUAGGAUUCUUUCUUACCAAGUUUCUCACUCUGGAUUGCCAGGAUCAUUUUCUAUAUAAUAUUUUUGUAUUUUCUUGGAAUCAAAUCCCUUCACUUGCCAUGAUGGCCUUUACCUCCCUUUCUACCUACACCUGCUGUUCUGCUGUUGGCUGCUGCAGCACAGCCACAUUUGCCAGGCAGCAGAGCCUUUACGGGACAGCAGCAGCAGCAGCCACAGCCUUGACCAGGUGGGCUUUGUCAUCUCUUAAAUCUUUUCAGAACAUAUGUGGGGUAUGAAAACUUCACACUGUGGAUGGUGGCCUUGAAUUCAAACAGCUUGUAGCUUACUGGGGUUUAGGUUUAGGGGGUUUUGCUUCAUUUUCUGUCAUCUUGAACAGCUGGUUUCUACAGGUGAAUAAAACCAAUAGGUCUUGCCAGAAUCUACUUUGGAAAUAAGGCUGAUUGAAAACUUGGACACUUCUUAAUAUACUUGAUUGUAUUUAAAUUGGUGGGUGCUUUAGAGUCCUUAUUCUUCUGGAAGCAAAUUCAAAAGCUUAGAAACACAAAGACCAGGUCUUCAUGACUUCAUGAUACUCGCAAAUUCCACCUGCCUGUCCUCCUGCGUGGCUUGGGACAGGUGAAUGGCAGAAAUGGGGAUGUCUCACUGAAGGGAGGGAGGUCACGCUGACCGAAGCCCCUGGGGAACUGGAAGUGCUGAGCGUGCUUUGCCUGGCUUCGCACACGCCACUGACCUCCCCCAGCACCGAAGAAUAGGUUUCUGGCAGGAAGUUGAUUAAGGAGCAGAUAAAAUAUUUUCUAUUUUUCUUCUGCUCUAAGAUCUGUACUGAGCUGAAUCCUCUGGGUAAAUAAAGACAGGGGUGAGCUGAGCAAGAAGCCUUGCGAGCUUGUUCUGUUAAUACUUUCUACCUCUUGACAUUCAUUGUGGAGCUGCUGCAGGGUGGUGCGCCGGGAAGCAGCUUUAGCAGCGUGACGGUUUAUUCUGGGUCAGGCCAGUGCGGGUGCAGGAGUAGCUGGUCAGGCUGACACAGGGCUCCAUGCCCUCCGCAGGGAUAUGUGAAAUCGUUUGGAGCGUGACUCUGAGAAUAGGUGUUUAUGGUUUGCAUCCAACUGAAAGAACUGGUGUUUUUCAGGUGGCACCACGUGGACUCACAAACACUUCUGCUCAGUCUCAUGUGCCACCUCCUUACCCAUGUGAAGUAUCAUAAAAUGCUUCUGCAACUAGUACUGUUAAAGCAAUGCAAGUGCAGGGAGGUGUAUCGGUUUCUAGCUAUGUUGAUACAGUGAGGGUUUAGAAAUGAGAGAUGUCAAUGUGAAAAGCCACUAUUCUGCAGAUCAGCCCAGGUGUUUAUCCAGAAAGAAAUGUUUCCAAUUGCUACUGUGGUUGUGUGUAAGACUGAAAUGCUGAAAGAGAACUGUGUAACCCUCCUAGGCCAAGACUGAGCGAGACCUGGCAUUGUCCUUCUGAACACUUCUGCAACCUGAACCAAAAACCUGCGGUGGGAAUGUAGACUUACCAUGUAGCUGUGGAAGAAAACUUCAAUCGUGUCACUUCUCUCGGUCUUCAGAGCAGUCAACAUGAUUUCAAUGUAGGUUUUAGAUUAUGUAUAUAUAAAUCUGAUUGAAGUACCAACAGCAAACCAUAAAUAAAAUGUGGACUUAACUGAA